rnacentral:misc_RNA from 1 species
GUUUUGGCAACAUGGCGACCAAGAAAAUCAUGAAAUAUUAGAUCUAGACAAUAUUUAAAUUUCAGCCAAAAACCAUCACUUUAAACGACUAUGCUGAAGUAAUAUACAAAUAAUGGAUGAUGACAUACGUCCCAAGCCAGCAGUGCGGCGAUCACUAAUAGGGCAACAACAAACCCAUUGUGAUGUUAGCGAUGAUAAUGAUGAUAACCAGGAUGAUGAAAGCCAAGGGUCUUCAGAAGAAGAGAAUGAUGACUCUGGGAGUGCAACUCCUACCAGUACAAAGGCAGGACUUGAUACUGAGCAGUGCAAUAGUGUUGCCAAAGCUCUCAGCCAGGCUUAUAGAGUACUUCACCCUGGCUGUCAUAUCUGUAAGAGAAACAAGACACAGGGUAAUAACUUCAUUCAUUGUAAGCUAAGUGUACCCCUUGGCCAGCAGUAUAAAAGACUUAGGCAUCUCAUGGAGACCAGAUGUUAUUUACAGUUGAUCAAGGAUUAUACUUUUCGGAUUAAUUCUUUGAGCAGUUUUAUUCGAAACUUAGAGUUGAUUGUGUGUGAGGAAAGUCAGAGUUGGUAUGCCAUAUCUCACAGUACAGGUAGCUUUAGCAUGCCAGAGACUCGGCUUGAAUGCCUAAGUGCAAUAUGUGAGGACCUACGUGUACACAUAGGACACUGGAACUAUAUCAAGCAACAGAUGCAUACAAACCAUUGGUUACAGCCACUUUUGCCCAAAUUAUAUGUCCAAAUGGGGUCGGUUAGGGAUACUCUAACUCGUGGAGUAUGUGCUGCCCUUUAUUGGAUUGAUAAGAUCAUAAGACAAGGUUUACAAGUAUUUUCCCAUACUAGUUUUGAUCAGUUGACUCAAUCAACUUUAUGGAGCAUCACCCGUGGAAUUGAAGAAUUUAACACUGUACUUAAUCUAGUCAAAUCUCGAUUCUCUCAGGAAGACAAUUUGCUCAAUUCUAACCAGUCAGGCACUAUGGAGAGUACAUAUACUUCCCUAAAUGAUAUUAAACAGAUCCCUUUGUCAAGAAUUCUAAGUAUUCUAGCAGGUGAACGGUCCAAAUAUGCAGCAGGGGCUACUCAACAGUUUUUUGUUAGCAGUAAGGAGGUGAUAGGGGUAGUUGAGAGUGGAGAAGCUGAUGCAAGCCUCAUUUGGGAAGAUAGUUACGUGCCUAAUUUACCUAUAGAUUCCGAUUAUUGUUCAGCUUCAAAGAGUCACACAAGCAUCAGUGACUCGUUGUUGAAAUUAGGCACCCUUAAAGCUCCAGAUUUAACCAAUCAAAUGUCACCUGUUGUCACAUUUGCCCGUCAAGAGAAAGACUUUGCAGAUAAGUUCUUUGAAGUUGUAUGCCAUUCCACAGGUCUAGUUCGGAAUAAGGCAUCAUUAUCAUCAAAAACUAACAUGGCAAUUUCUAAUUCUAAACCUCCAUCCUCACAAAAUGAUUCCGCUUUUUUUUCACGACAUGAUCCAAAGCGUAAAUCAGUGACAUGGGGAGACACAGCUGAUAACUCAUUAAAAUCUCAGCUCACAGGUCGUUACAUGGAUCUCCUGUGGGGACAGUUUAGCAGCCACUUUCAGGGUAUGCUUAUGCAACAUGUCUGGGGUGCACGUGUGUCUGCUGAACAACAGUUGGGACAUCUAUGUUUCUGUUCUGACACUACAGUGGUGUUGCUUACAAAAAUGAUUCAACAGACUUGUAUGAAAGAUAUGUUUCCCAUGGCAGCCAUACCUCAUCUUAACACAGUUACCUUUAAGCUACAGGCUGAUGUUGCCAUGGCAACAUGGGAUACAGUGUUCUGUGAUGCUCUGGCAUCUACAUGGAGUGACAAAUGCUAUCCUGUCCCCCUAGCUGAUGGUGUCUCCAGUACAAAGACAGGCAAACUCCUAAAAGAUAGCUUCCAACCACUGGCGGCAAUUCUUGCCUCGCUUAUUGCAGAAAGAAGACCUAGCAGCCAAACCAAAGGUGCUGCACAAUUUAAAUCCAGCCAAGUGUCAGUUCUCAUCCAGACCCUCCAACGUAUAAUCUUAGUCUGUGAAACUUCAUAUAGAUGGUGCCACAGUAAGAGUAAACACUAUCUGGCUAACUUUUCCAUUGGAGCUUUUCUCCUGGUGUCACACAGUGACUUGAAGUUGUUAUGUGAUGAAAUUAAACACAUCCUGGAGUUAAGUCAGUUGUUGAGGUCUGGAACCCCUGGAAUGCAAAUUGACCUCCCCAGAGCAAAGCUCCUUGAUGCAUGCUGGGAUAAUCUCCAUGAUGUCGCAUCAAAACUUCAGGCUCUAUCAGGGAUCAUCUUGAAGAGUUUCUCUGAGAAGUUUGCAGUACAGUGUUCGGAUUUCUUUGAAGAAACUGUUCCUGUUGGACGAGUUUGGCGCAAGAAAAGUAACCAAGAUUUACCUACAGAGUGUAACGAAUAUGCCCAAACUGCCAUGGACACACUUUUAGAACCCAUAGUCGAAGGUGCUGCUAAGUUGCGCUCUACAGCCCAGAUCAGCAUCAUCAGUAUUACCGUGACAACUAUUUGUGACAUGUGGAUGCAGCAGAUUCUCAAAGAGAGGCUCAGAUUUAGUUACUAUGGUGCAUGUCAGCUAGAGCUGGACUUUGGCUACGCAAGCACAUUCCUGGAAGCCUACAUCACCAACGAUGAAGUCCGACAGAGUAUACUUGCUCUUGAGGCCUUUAAGAAGCUCCAUGGAGCUGUUCUGCUUCUGAAACGUCAACCGCAUGGCAGACAAUCACGAGGAUCAAUUACAGAGACAAGCAACAAUGAGUACAGUAUGAGUACAACCGAGUCAUAUGCUUCGUCCCAAUCUAGUCUCCCUCGGCAUAGUAACCAAAACACUUCAUAUGGUCUUAGUGAUAAUAACAUAGGUUCUACGGAGCAAGAGGGAGAUCUCCACUAUAAACUGACUAAUAUGGAACAGUGGUUAGCACUGAGAGUACAUGGAGGGGCACGUAAUUGGCCUAAGCUUCCCACUUGCUUCCCUGUCAAAGAAUGACUCCUCUUAAUACAGGAACGAUUUGUACUUAAUAUAACAGCUGUUACAGUGAGUCUUGAACUCUUCUUAGUUAGUGACACCUACAGGUGUUAGUAGUUGGUGCAAUACAGUGCAGUUCAUGUAGAAUAUUGAGUCCAAACCACAAAUCUACAAAAGGAAUGAUAUUUAUUGAUAAUGGCCUAGUGAAUGAAAUCAAUGUCCAUUAGCCUUAUAUCAUUUGGUUGUGUUGUGGUUUUACUUAUAGUUAAAUUGUUGCAUUUAUGAACAUUUGUCAAGUGUAAACAUUUUAAAUGUCAUACUGUUGUUCAGUAACGAUAACAUUUUUUGUUUCAUGUUUGAAUUAAUGAGGAGAAAAAUGAGACAAUCAUUAUUUGUAAGAGUGCACUUCGUAUUGCACUUGUGUCCUCUAAAUUGAGGGUAAAAAAAUGUCAAGACUAGUACAUGUAGAUACAUAAAUGAAUGUACAAAUGUAUUAUUUGAUAGACAUUGUUACAGGCAAUAAUACUGACAUGCUCCAUGGAGCAACUUGUACUCCACUGAACUUGCAUGUAAUUCAUUCCAUCACAGGGUUGAUCUCAAAUAUUAUAUUAUGAUCUUUCAUUGUAUAAAUAGACUGAUAGACACUAAAGUAUAUUCACCAGUUUUUGCAAAGGAGUAGGAAAUGUAGGACGUGUGUGUACAGGACAUGAUGUACUUUUACAUGGUAUAAUUCAUGUAUGUAUUGUGAUCUAAUAUUUUUAGUGGUUGUAUCACCAGUCUUGUUUUAAGGCUCUGGAUCCCCCCUCUCCUGUUUUCUUUACCCACUGUACUGAGAAGGUGUGUAGUCAAGUAGUGGGGGUCAAACAAGCUUGUAGCUAGACCAUAUAUAGUAUUAUAGAGUUGUAUUCUUUCUCUUGAUAUUCAUAUGAAUAAGACAGUCCCAA